UGGGGAAUUUUGGACAAUGGGGGAAACCCUGAUCCAGCCAUCCCGCGUGUGCGAUGAAGGCCUUCGGGUUGUAAAGCACUUUUGGCAGGAAAGAAACGUCGCGGGUUAAUACCCCGCGAAACUGACGGUACCUGCAGAAUAAGCACCGGCUAACUACGUGCCAGCAGCCGCGGUAAUACGUAGGGUGCAAGCGUUAAUCGGAAUUACUGGGCGUAAAGCGUGCGCAGGCGGUUCGGAAAGAAAGAUGUGAAAUCCCAGAGCUUAACUUUGGAACUGCAUUUUUAACUACCGGGCUAGAGUGUGUCAGAGGGAGGUGGAAUUCCGCGUGUAGCAGUGAAAUGCGUAGAUAUGCGGAGGAACACCGAUGGCGAAGGCAGCCUCCUGGGAUAACACUGACGCUCAUGCACGAAAGCGUGGGGAGCAAACAGGAUUAGAUACCCUGGUAGUCCACGCCCUAAACGAUGUCAACUAGCUGUUGGGGCCUUCGGGCCUUGGUAGCGCAGCUAACGCGUGAAGUUGACCGCCUGGGGGAGUACGGUCGCAAGAUUAAAACUCAAAGGAAUUGACGGGGUCAUAGCUGUUUCCU
rnacentral:rRNA from 1 species